GGGCCCGCACAAGCGGUGGAGUAUGUGGUUUAAUUCGAUGCAACGCGAAGAACCUUACCAGGGUUUGACAUCCUGCGAAUCUCUUGGAAACUUGAGAGUGCCUUCGGGAGCGCAGUGACAGGUGGUGCAUGGCUGUCGUCAGCUCGUGUCGUGAGAUGUUGGGUUAAGUCCCGCAACGAGCGCAACCCACGUCUUUAGUUGCCAGCAUUUAGUUGGGCACUCUAGCGAGACCGCCGGUGAUAAACCGGAGGAAGGUGUGGAUGACGUCAAGUCAUCAUGCCCCUUACAUCCUGGGCUACACACGUACUACAAUGCUACGGACAAAGGGCAGCAAACUCGCGAGAGCUAGCAAAUCCCAUAAACCGUGGCUCAGUUCAGAUCGUAGGCUGCAACUCGCCUACGUGAAGGAGGAAUC
rnacentral:rRNA from 1 species